rnacentral:lncRNA from 1 species
AUGGUCGAGACGAGAAUGCGACCGCCAAUUUCAAAAUUUCACCUAAAAUCAUUCUCGUUAAUAAUUGAAAUGAAAUUUCGACCUUUUCGUUACGAAACUUUGAUUAUUUCAUCUUUCUUUUAAUUUUUUUAUGAAUUAUUGACAUCAUCUGACGAAGAAUUAUAAAUUUUUAAUCCCUCGUAAUAUAAAAUUUCGCGACAUUUGAAUAGUUGGAGAAUAAAUGAAACGCGUGAAAAUAAAAAUGUAAACAGUAAGUAAAAAGUAAGAAAAAGCGUGAUUCGAACGAAGAAUGGAAAAGAGAAGAAAAGGGAGAGGGCAUCGGGAUCAAUGUGGUCCUCCCUGCGGACUUAGUGCACAGUAGGGGCGCACGCUCCUCCAGGGUAGGAUUAGUCACGAUCCCACUCGGUCGUAAAGUUUCAAAGAUUGCAGACAGACACUACAGUUUCCUCCCAAUCGAUUCUGGCGAGAGACUCGAUCUGAAUUCGAUAGAUAAAAACGACAAAAGAAUUUCCUUUAGAAAAGUAAAAUCGAGAUACGAUUGUAAUUUUUUCUUUUUCAUCUUUUGAUUAAAUGUGUAGAAAUGGAUUUCAGAGUGUAGAAUGGACGAUUAUAAUGAAAAAAAAAGGAAAUGAAAAAAUACUGAAAUAUUAAUAAAAAUUUAAUACAUAUAAAACUUUACCUAACGCAUAUAAUUUUUUAUUAUUCGUGUUACGUUAUAAAAUGGUUAUAAAUUCACCAUUUUACUACUCAUUGUUCACUUUUUCUAUAUGUAUCAUGUAUCUUUUUGAAAAGGUAUAUGCUAAAGACAUUUGCUGAAAAUAUACGAUUAUAUUUAAUGAAUACAAAAUUGAUUAAUAGAUCGAGUAUUUUUAUUUGAAAUUAACGAGCUUGCAGGGUGCUUGAGUUUAUGUAUCCAGCUCUGUCAUCUCCUAUCGAAUAAAAUUACGCGCUCCUUUAAGCAGGGCUGGCACUAUUCGCCAAAUUACCUCUGAAAAAUAUUUAUCAAUUAACGAUUAAUGCUUCAACGUUAGAUAAUUCUUUUUAUCAAUAUCUCUCUUUUCCUUUCUUUUCUUAUUGGAUUACAACAAUUAACGAUUAUCAGAAUUUUCUCAAACAAGAUUGAUUUCUUUACUUCGUAGACAAUGUUUUUUACGCCUCGUCCCAUCAACAUGGCGUCACCUUAAGGCUGUAGUGGCGCCAACCAUUGCUAGCGAUCGAUGCGCUCAUCAACCAAUGAAAAAAAAUAUAUAUAUAUAUAUAUAUCCUACACAACAAAUAACAUUAUUAAACAAAUAACAACGUUUGAUUAACAAAAUUAAAAUUACAUUUUCUCCUAUUGAACCACUUUACCUUAAUUGCAGAUAAUUUAUUUCAAUCUUGAAACUAUUCUUCGACCAAUUAAAUUUUUAAACAGUGAACUUUAUGCUCAAUUUUUUAUGUAACUUAAUGAAUUCAUUCUGUCUUCUCAGUCAAUCUGCAUAAUCAUUUUUGUUAUCCCUCGAUAACAAUAAUAUUCUACAAAACGUUGAAUAAUAAUUCAACCUGUAAUUUUAAUUAUGAUCGACGAUCAAUAACAAAGGAAUAGGGGUCGUCUCAUAUAAAGAUUUUAUUUCGUUAGUACGUACACAUUUGCGCCAGCACAAAAAAGGAUCGUAUCAUAUAAAAUGAGAACAAUGCAGUUUCCUUUUCCGAGACUAGACACAAUAUAGGGGGCGUGGGGACUCAGGGUUAUUGCGUUUAUACCCUUCGCUUUUUUUUCCAUGAUUACACUUGCCGUAUACAACUCGAUCAAACGACUUGACACGAUACGUAUAAAUUCAUCAAUGACCCUGAGAUCCAAUGAAAAACGGACACGAUACCGCAUUUGAUCUUUCGGAGAAAUGUCGACCGACUCUUCAUUUAAUCGCGCAGUGCUGAUCUCUCUCUUUUUCUUUUUCUUUUUUCUUUUUUUUCUUUUUUCCUUUUUAUAAAUAACUUUUACGUCAUACGUAUUGAAAUAAUUUCUCUUCUUUAUAUCUCGUUCUUGGAACUAAUAAAGUAUUCCAAUACAAUACGACUCGAUCACAGUGAAAAAAACACUGGCUGGUCAAGACACUACCAUGAAGAGUCGACGAAGUUGCUUCGUAUGUAUAAAUUUAUGAUAUUUACAAGGGCAGUGUUGUUAUAGAAAUAUUCGAGUUAAUGCUAAUAAAUGGCAGGCACUAAGCGACUCUUCAAGGUUUCUCCCUUGCAAGCGGAAUAAGCCAUAACACGCAAUAUCGUUGUUUUCUUCUUCCUAGUGUCUUGUAACACGCUCGCUAACCGAUUCUCAUUCUCUUUCACUUUCUUUUGUACAAUUUAUGAAUUCCAUACAAUAGAAAGUACACUGAAGGAAAAUCGUAAAUUAUCUUGUUAAAAGUAUAGAAACAUAAUUAAUUGCGCUUAAAUUCAUAGUUAUCGCGCAUCGAUAACCGACAAGCUUAAGUACACAUCAAAAAAAAAAAAAAAAAAAAAAAAA